ensembl:lncRNA
AUGAAAGAGAUUUUCAAUCGGGCGCGCACUGGGAGUCUGACAGAACGGCUUUCUGAGGUUUUUUUACAACGUAGCCUAGUUGCGGCGAAGGCUCGCAGAAUACGUAAUGAAUACAGGCUACGUCAGAGAUCUGUGGGCAGUCAUCUUUCCAAACCAACACCUUUUUCCCACACCAAUUCUGUGAACGGGACCGGGCUGUUAUAUCAGGGCUGUCAUAAGAGAUGGCUAACUGGCUGACAUAAAUCCAACGACUAACGGAUAUUUCUAAUCAGUUCUCUUGGAAUUGUGAAGCU